AUUGAACGCUGGCGGCAGGCCUAACACAUGCAAGUCGAACGAGUGGCGGACGGGUGAGUAAUGUCUGGGAAACUGCCUGAUGGAGGGGGAUAACUACUGGAAACGGUAGCUAAUACCGCAUACCAUCAGAUGUGCCCAGAUGGGAUUAGCUUGUGGGGGGGGUAAAGGCUCACCAAGGCGACGAUCCCUAGCUGGUCUGAGAGGAUGACCGGCCACACUGGAACGGAGACACGGUCCAGACUCCUACGGUAGGCAGCAGUGGGGAAGUUUGGACAAUGGGGGCAAUCCUGAUGCAGCCAUGCCGCGGGUAUGAAGAAGGCCUUCGGGUUGUAAAGUACUUUCAGCGGGGAGGCGUUACCCGCAGAAGAAGCACCGGCUAACUCCGUGCCAGCCGCCGCGGUAAUUC
rnacentral:rRNA from 1 species